AUUUAUGUUAGUAUAACUCAACAAAAAAGCCGGAAUAGCUCAGUUGGUAG
rnacentral:tRNA from 1 species